UACGGAGGGUGCAAGCGUUAAUCGGAAUUACUGGGCGUAAAGCGUGCGUAGGCGGUUCGUUAAGUCUGUUGUGAAAGCCCCGGGCUCAACCUGGGAAUGGCAAUGGAUACUGGCGAGCUAGAGUGUGUCAGAGGAUGGUGGAAUUCCCGGUGUAGCGGUGAAAUGCAUUGAGAUCGGAAAGAACACCAACGGCGAAAGCACUCUGCUGGGCCGACACUGACACUGAGAGACGAAAGCUAGGGGAGCAAAUGGG
rnacentral:rRNA from 1 species